rnacentral:lncRNA from 1 species
GUACAUCUGGCAAAGUCAACAAGAAAUUACUUCCAGAGGAGAAAAAUAUUUUGAAUUUUCAAACUUUUUCGACAAUGCACAUUUCGGAGUUCAACAGUUCAUUUAGUCAUCCUGAACAGAAUAAAUACGCAGACGCAAAAGAAACAAAUUACCAAAAAUGAGACGUGGAAGUUAAAUCUGGCAAUUUUACGGCGUCACUACACUUAAGCACAGGAACAAAAGUUGUUUCCCGGAUUAACUCAGGAUUUUAUCACUCACUAUCAAGUUAACAGCGUGAAGGGGAUUAUGAGAGGAUUCAUUUAAAAUCGCAGAUUUGACUGCCAUCUAGUAAUUCCUUGGCAGGCAGUUGGUGCUGCAAGGUUUCAACAGUGAAGAUAUAUUCCAGUUCUUGAAAUAUUUAUGCAGUUAGUAUUUCUGAUAACUGGUUGGAUAUCAGAAAGUUUGGAUUGGGUGCUGAAAUAUAAUUUUCUCUGAACUCCACUAAAAGAUUUGC